GGGGAUUUUCAACACUUCGGACAAUAACUCAAAAGGCUUUCACCAAUGUCCAUGAAACUUUGGUGAAUUGUUUAUAUCUAUUGAUGUAAGCUCCCUUUCAAUUUUUAUAAAUUUCAGAUUUUAAGUUUUGGAUUUAUGGGGCUUUAUUCAUAAAAAAAAGGGGGAUUUUCAACACUUCGGACAAUAACUCAAAAAGGCUUUCACCAAUGUCCAUGAAACUUUGGUGAAUUGUUUAUAUCUAUUGAUGUAAGCUCCCUUUCAAUUUUUAUAAAUUUCAGAUUUUAAGUUUUGGAUUUAUGGGGCUUUAUUCAUAAAAAAAGGGGGAUUUUCAACACUUCGGACAAUAACUCAAAAGGCUUUCACCAAUGUCCAUGAAACUUUGGUGAAUUGUUUAUAUCUAUUGAUGUAAGCUCCCUUUCAAUUUUUAUAAAUUUCAGAUUUUACAUUUCCGUGUUAUGAAUUUUUAUGCUUAAAAAAGGGGGGGAUUUUCCAAUUUUGGG
rnacentral:lncRNA from 1 species